UACGUAGGGUGCGAGCGUUGUCCGGAAUUACUGGGCGUAAAGAGCUCGUAGGUGGUUUGUCGCGUUGUCCGUGAAAACUCACAACUCAAUUGUGGGCGUGCGGGCGAUACGGGCAGACUGGAGUUCUGCAGGGGAGACUGGAAUUCCUGGUGUAGCGGUGGAAUGCGCAGAUAUCAGGAGGAACACCGGUGGCGAAGGCGGGUCUCUGGGCAGUAACUGACGCUGAGGAGCGAAAGCGUGGGGAGCGAACAGG
rnacentral:rRNA from 1 species